rnacentral:tRNA from 1 species
GGCAGUUUGGCGGAGUGGUCUAACGCGCUAGACUUGAAUACUUUUCAUGUUAUCUAGUCCUUUCGAGGGCGCAGGUUCGAACCCUGCAACUGUCG